rnacentral:rRNA from 1 species
UACGUAGGGUGCAAGCGUUAAUCGGAAUUACUGGCGUAAAGCGUGCGCAGGCGGUUCUGUAAGUCUGUCGUGAAAUCCCGGCUUGAACCUGGAUUGCGAUGGAGACUGCAAGGCUAGAAUCUGGCAGAGGGGGUAGAAUUCCACGUGUAGCAGUGAAAUGCGUAGAGAUGUGGAGGAACACCGAUGGCGAAGGCAGCCCCCUGGGUCAAGAU